CAGCUGUUCAACUCAUCUUUGAUUUGAGGGAAAGCCAUGUCUGUCUUAAGCAUGACAUUCCCGAGAGAGAGCUUCCAAGUCAUCCUCAGAUGUCCAUCAAGUUUAAGGAAAAGGCAUAAAAAUACUGCAGGCUAAUAAGAAGUGAAAGAGGCAUACACAAUGUGCAAAUAAAGCAGAAAAUGAUACAGACAUCUAGAAUAAGAAUACAAGUGCUUUCAUCAAAGUUUUUCAAAUGAAGAAGCGAAGGUUCAGAGAG
rnacentral:lncRNA from 1 species